rnacentral:rRNA from 1 species
AGAGUUUGAUUCUGGCUCAGGAUGAACGCUAGCGGCAGGCUUAACACAUGCAAGUCGAGGGGUAUAGUAGCAAUACUAGGGACCGGCGCACGGGUGCGUAACGCGUAUGCAAUCUACCUUUUGCAGAGGGAUAGCCCAGAGAAAUUUGGAUUAAUACCUCAUAGUAUUAUAGUAUGGCAUCAUAUUAUAAUUAAAGUCACAACGGCAAAAGAUGAGCAUGCGUCCCAUUAGCUAGUUGGUAAGGUAACGGCUUACCAAGGCGACGAUCAGUAGGGGGCGUGAGAGCGUGGCCCCCCACACGGGUACUGAGACACGGACCCGACUCCUACGGGAGGCAGCAGUAAGGAAUAUUGGUCAAUG